AGAAAUAAAAGACCUGGACUGUA
rnacentral:piRNA from 1 species